GUUAUUUAUUAUAGUGGAGAAAAAUUUGACAUGUAACGAUUAUUGCUACCACAAGGAGGUAGCAAUAAUUGUUUUGCUGGUUUGUUGGUUUGCCGUGUCAAGUCCGAGUGAAAUUCGAGCCUGAGUCAAAUGUUCAAGUCACUGGCUGUUUGGCGGUCUUUGUAGUUCAUUGACGUAGUACCCUGUACCCUACAGGACCUUAUUCCUAACCCAGGGCCGUAGCAACCACUAAUCAUUCUUUUUCCAAAAUCAUGCAGAUCAUCCAUUCUCAUUCAUGCUAAUCAUUCUUUUUCCAAAAUUAUGCAGAAUCAUUUAAAUAAUAUACCUUUAAAAUACUGACAAUUGAUUAAUUUUAAGCGGCUACAUUACCCAUGACAAACUGCAAAGAAUGAAAUUAUAUUUUUCAUACUUUCCUGCAACUUAUCCAAUAUUGAUAUAGUUCAUUAAAUACGCCUUUGCCCAUUUAGUGCUACUAAAUUGUAAAUUUCGACAUAAUCUAAAAUGAUGUUUUCUGACCAUCAGAAUUCUGUCAAAUCUUCCCCAAAGUCCAGGAAAUGGCAUUUCAGAGACUCUAAAUUUAAAAAUUUCCUCGGGCCUUUGGCCCUCAAAGCUCUGCUAGGCAUGUCCCAAUUGUGCUCAGCAACUGUACA